rnacentral:rRNA from 1 species
ACGAUUAAACUUUCCUUCGGGAAAGAUAUAAAGUGGCGUACGGGUGAGUAACACGUAAGUAAUCUACCUUCGAGUGGGGAAUAACAGUCGGAAACGACUGCUAAUACCGCAUAAUGCAGCGGCACCUAAUGGUGACAGUUGUUAAAGCAUUUAUGCGCUUGAAGAGGAGCUUGCGGCAGAUUAGCUAGUUGGUAAGGUAAUGGCUUACCAAGGCAACGAUCUGUAUCCGGUCUAAGAGGACGGUCGGACACACUGACACUGAAUAACGGGUCAGACUCCUACGGGAGGCAGCAGUCGGGAAUUUUGGGCAAUGGGCGAAAGCCUGACCCAGCAACGCCGCGUGAAGGAUGAAGUCUUUCGGGAUGUAAACUUCGUAAGAAUAGGAAGAAUAAAUGACGGUACUAUUUGUAAGGUCCGGCUAACUACGUGCCAGCAGCCGCGGUAAUACGUAGGGACCAAGCGUUGUUCGGAUUUACUGGGCGUAAAGGGCGCGUAGGCGGCGUGUUAAGUCAGCUGUGAAAUCUCCAAGCUUAACUUGGAACGGUCAGCUGAUACUGAUGUGCUAGAGUGCAGAAGGGGCAACCGGAAUUCUUGGUGUAGCGGUGAAAUGCGUAGAUAUCAAGAGGAACACCUGAGGUGAAGACGGGUUGCUGGGCUGACACUGACGCUGAGGCGCGAAAGCUAGGGUAGCAAACGGGAUUAGAUACCCCGGUAGUCCUAG